rnacentral:rRNA from 1 species
AAUAGAUACCCUGGUAGUCCACGCCGUAAACGAUGAGUGCUAAGUGUUAGAGGGUUUCCGCCCUUUAGUGCUGCAGCUAACGCAUUAAGCACUCCGCCUGGGGAGUACGGUCGCAAGACUGAAACUCAAAGGAAUUGACGGGGGCCCGCACAAGCGGUGGAGCAUGUGGUUUAAUUCGAAGCAGCGCGAAGAACCUUACCAGGUCUUGACAUCCUCUGACAACUCUAGAGAUAGAGCGUUCCCCUUCGGGGGACAGAGUGACAGGUGGUGCAUGGUUGUCGUCAGCUCGUGUCGUGAGAUGUUGGGUUAAGUCCCGCAACGAGCGCAACCCUUGAUCUUAGUUGCCAGCAUUCAGUUGGGCACUCUAAGGUGACUGCCGGUGACAAACCGGAGGAAGGUGGGGAUGACGUCAAAUCAUCAUGCCCCUUAUGACCUGGGCUACACACGUGCUACAAUGGAUGGUACAAAGGGCUGCAAGACCGCGAGGUCAAGCCAAUCCCAUAAAACCAUUCUCAGUUCGGAUUG